AUUGAACGCUAGCGGCAUGCUUAACACAUGCAAGUCGAACGGCAGCGCGAGGAGCUUGCUCCUUGGCGGCGAGUGGCGGACGGGUGAGUAACGCGUAGGAAUUUGCCUUAUAGUGGGGGACAACCCGAGGAAACUCGGGCUAAUACCGCAUAAUCUCUACGGAGCAAAGUGGGGGAUCUUCGGACCUCACGCUAUAAGAUGAGCCUGCGUUGGAUUAGCUUGUUGGUGGGGUAAAGGCCUACCAAGGCGACGAUCCAUAGCUGGUUUGAGAGGACGACCAGCCACACUGGGACUGAGACACGGCCCAGACUCCUACGGGAGGCAGCAGUGGGGAAUAUUGGACAAUGGGGGCAACCCUGAUCCAGCAAUGCCGCGUGUGUGAAGAAGGCCUUCGGGUUGUAAAGCACUUUCAGUGGGGAAGAAAAGCCAAGGGUAAUAUCCUUGGAAAUUGACAUUACCCACAGAAGAAGCACUGGCUAACUCUGUG
rnacentral:rRNA from 1 species